rnacentral:lncRNA from 10 species
AGAUAUUGAAAGUGCAAUCAGUGACAGUAAAGGAGGGAAACAGAAGAGGCGGCCCGACGCCCUGAGGAUGAUUUCCAAUGCAGACCCUAGUAUACCGCCUCCACCCAGAGCUCCUGCCCCUGCGCCCCCUGGGACCGUCACCCAGGUGGAUGUUAGAAGUCGAGUGGCAGCCUGGUCUGCAUGGGCAGCCGACCAAGGGGACUAGUCCCUUUUUGGACAAGUUUGUCAUAUUCAUGGAAAGGUUGUCAGGACAGUGGUUGGCUGCUGGCAGUGGAGAAGGGUAAAAGUUGAGAAACCAAGGCAGUAUCAUGAGCAGGAAGAAACACCUGAGAUGAUGGCAGCCCGCAUUGACAGAGAUGUGCAAAUCUUAAACCACAUUUUGGAUGACAUUGAAUUUUUUAUCACAAAACUCCAAAAAGCAGCAGAAGCAUUUUCUGAGCUUUCUAAAAGGAAGAAAAACAAGAAAGGUAAAAGGAAAGGACCAGGAGAGGGUGUUUUAACGCUGCGGGCAAAACCUCCACCUCCUGAUGAAUUUCUUGACUGUUUCCAAAAGUUUAAACACGGAUUUAACCUUCUGGCCAAACUGAAGUCUCAUAUUCAGAAUCCUAGUGCUGCAGAUUUGGUUCACUUUUUGUUUACUCCAUUAAAUAUGGUG